rnacentral:misc_RNA from 1 species
GAAAUCAUGUAUACCUGACAAAGCUCUAACUGAACAGCUACACAGUUGUCUGGAUGUUUUUUGGUUGUUGGUCGAUGAGAAUAAGUGCAGAGUGCCCUUCUAUGAAUUGUUGUGCAGUGGGCUGCCUUUUAUUGAGACCAUACCAGAUGAUGAAGCUUUAUUUACACUCAUCUUGGAGAGCCAUAGGAGGCAAGAUAUGAUGGCCACGCAUAUACAAAUGCAAAUGCUAGAACAACACCUGCAUUGUCCCACAUUUGGUAUUCAUCGGAUUCUGUCUCAAAUAACUCCUAACAUUUCAGUUGAAGCAGUAGCAAACUUGCGCUAUUCGCCGAUCACAUAUCCAAGUGUACUUGGAGAACCGUU